ACUUUACAAUUUGUUUCUGCUCCAUGAAAUUUUGUUUAAAUUGAGUAAGUUGUAUUAUUGUUAGGUUGGGGCGACUAUUAUAUAAUUUUAAUAACUGUAAGCGAAAGAAAUAAUUUUAUUUAGUUAGAUGAUCCUUUAAUAAAGAUUAAAAGAUUAAGUU
rnacentral:rRNA from 1 species